rnacentral:misc_RNA from 1 species
UUUCCGUAGGUGAACCUGCGGAAGGAUCAUUCUUGAAGUAGAAGUUCACUUCUAGCUCAUAUGUGCACCGUUAUUCGCCAUUUGGCAACCUAUAACUGGGUUGUCGAAAGGCACAUUUUUAGUUAACCUUAUUUUAAACCAUACCAUAACUCAUCAACUGUACAACUUUUAGCAAUGGAUCUCUAGGCUCUCGCAUCGAUGAAGAACGCAGC